rnacentral:lncRNA from 1 species
CAGUCUUCUAUCUGUUGACCCCUCUUCACAAAACGACCUAAAUCCUGACAUUCGUCUCUGUCAUGUUUUUACAGAGCAAAACAAACAAAAGUCUUUCUGAUCAUAGAGAGAAAUUGCAAGCACAACACUGUUGGCACUGUGCUACUGGAUAUUUGGAUAUCGUCAGCUGCUCAGACCCUGUAAUUCUGACCGGACUGGAUGAACUGGGACAGACAGUACUGUAUGUGCACAAGGAAGUAAAGCACAAAAGUGUGCGUGCGCGCGUGCGUGCGCGUGCGUGCGUGCGUGUGUGCGCGCGUGUGUGUGUGUGUGUGUGCGUGCGUGUGUGUGCGUGUGUGUGUGUGUAUAUAUACUGGGGCAGCUCAGAGGCAAUAAACCACCCAGGAAACCGUGUCUGGAGCUCUACAACUGCCUCAACAUGAGGAGCUUGAUUUAUUUUCUGGCUCUCGUCAGCUCAGCUGGAGCCCUUGUGUGUCAAUCCUGCUCAGAUGCUCAGUGUUCAAACACAGCACCAGUGACUUGUUCCUCACAGACCAUGUGUCUGGCAGCUUCUGCAGAAAUCAAUGAAGAGGGCAACAUUAGACAGCUGACCUACAAGGCAUGUGCAUCAUCCUCUCUGUGUCCAGCAACUGGCAGCCAGACAUUUUCAGUCAACUUGGCUUUAUCAAAAGCAGUUUUAGCUGUUGGUUGCUGUGACACUGACAACUGCAACUCUCUAACUCCACCUAUCCCUGCUGCUCAGUCGCUCAACAGCCUGUCAUGUAAAUACCGCGACCCUUCCCUUCCUGCUACUGGCGUCACUCAGUGUAGGGGAAUAGAAGACAGAUGCUUUCAAGUGAAGGGUAAAUUUAAUAAUGUUUAUAAGAUGUUGCACAUUACAUGCUGAUGACUACAUGAGAUGCAAAUGAGGAUACUGUAUGAACUAAGUAAGAUUGACAAAGAUCUAUUUUACUACCAAAGAAAAUCACUGCAGGGCAGGACAAAGUCCAGAAGUGAGACCGAGGUGGAGACGAGUCUACGGCUACAAACUAACCAGCAAACUUCUACAAUAACUACAUGUAGUAGAAUCCAGAGUUAAAUGCUGAGAGAAGACUCCACUAUUAUCAUGUAAUUUAAGAAAGCACCUUAAAGCUUCAACUGGUUUCAGUUGAUACUUAGAUGUAAAAUUAGGCUCAUAGAUAAAUGUUAAACUAUGGCAUGAAUAAAUGUGACCUGUUAAACA